rnacentral:rRNA from 1 species
AGCGAACGCUGGCGGUAGGCCUAACACAUGCAAGUCGAACGAACUCUUCGGAGUUAGUGGCGGACGGGUGAGUAACACGUGGGAACGUGCCUUUAGGUUCGGAAUAACUCAGGGAAACUUGUGCUAAUACCGAAUGUGCCCUUCGGGGGAAAGAUUUAUCGCCUUUAGAGCGGCCCGCGUCUGAUUAGCUAGUUGGGGAGGUAAAGGCUCACCAAGGCGACGAUCAGUAGCCGGUCUGAGAGGAUGAUCAGCCACAUUGGGACUGAGACACGGGCCAAACUCCUACGGGAGGCAGCAGUGGGGAAUCUUGCGCAAUGGGCGAAAGCCUGACGCAGCCAUGCCGCGUGAAUGAUGAAGGUCUUAGGAUUGUAAAAUUCUUUCACCGGGGACGAUAAUGACGGUACCCGGAGAAGAAGCCCCGGCUAACUUCGUGCCAGCCGCCGCAGUAA